rnacentral:rRNA from 1 species
GACGAACGCUGGCGGCGUGCUUAACACAUGCAAGUCGAACGGGCCCGCCCCUGUUUUUGGGGGUGGGUUGAGUGGCGAACGGGCGAGUAUCACGUGAGUAACCUGCCCCCUGCUCCUGGAUAACUGCUUGAAAGGGCGGCUAAUACGGGGUGUGCCGGCUGGUCCGCAUGGGCCUGGUCGGGAUAGUUUCAUCUUCGGGUGUUUCGGUGGGGGAUGGGCUCGCGGCCUAUCAGCUUGUUGGUGGGGUGAUGGCCCACCAAGGCGGUGACGGGUAGCCGGCCUGAGAGGGUGGGCGGCCACACUGGGACUGAGCCACGGCCCAGACUCCUGCGGGAGGCAGCAGUGGGGGGUAUUGCACAAUGGGCGGAAGCCUGAUGCAGCGACGUCGCGUGAGGGAUGGAGGCCUUCGGGUUGUGAACCUCUUUCUCCGGUGGUGAAGGCCCUGUCCGUUGCGGCGGGGUUGACGGUAGCCGGGUAUGAAGCGCCGGCUAACUACGUG